rnacentral:rRNA from 1 species
GCGGCCUAACACAUGCAAGUCGAGCGGUAGCGCAAAAGUAGCUUGCUAUUUUGGCGGCGAGCGGCGGACGGGUGAGUAAUGUCUGGGAAACUGCCUGAUGGAGGGGGAUAACUACUGGAAACGGUAGCUAAUACCGCAUAACGUCGCAAGACCAAAGAGGGGGACCUUCGGGCCUCUUGCCAUCAGAUGUGCCCAGAUGGGAUUAGCUAGUAGGUGGGGUAACGGCUCACCUAGGCGACGAUCCCUAGCUGGUCUGAGAGGAUGACCAGCCACACUGGAACUGAGACACGGUCCAGACUCCUACGGGAGGCAGCAGUGGGGAAUAUUGCACAAUGGGCGCAAGCCUGAUGCAGCCAUGCCGCGUGUAUGAAGAAGGCCUUCGGGUUGUAAAGUACUUUCAGCGGGGAGGAAGGCGAUGAGGUUAAUAACCUUGUCGAUUGACGUUACCCGCAGAAGAAGCACCGGCUAACUCCGUGCCAGCAGCCGCGGUAAUACGGAGGGUGCAAGCGUUAAUCGGAAUUACUGGGCGUAAAGCGCACGCAGGCGGUCUGUCAAGUCGGAUGUGAAAUCCCCGGGCUCAACCUGGGAACUGCAUUCGAAACUGGCAGGCUAGAGUCUUGUAGAGGGGGGUAGAAUUCCAGGUGUAGCGGUGAAAUGCGUAGAGAUCUGGAGGAAUACCGGUGGCGAAGG